rnacentral:lncRNA from 1 species
UGGUGUCUUGAUUACCAAAACUAAAACCCUAAGCAAUACAUUUGUCUUGAUCUCCAUAAGGUUUUGUUUUUCUGUUUCUUCUUUUCCAAGUUGAGCACUUGAUCAUCUUGUGGUCAUCACCAUUAUCACCAUGAUCAUCACUUGCUCCAUCACUUGGCAUGUACCAACCUCAUUAAGUCUACACACACUUAUUAGUAUAGAGGUUAGUACUAGGGUUUCAUCAAUUAACCAAAACCAAACUAGGGCUUUCAAAAAUACUUAUGUGUCUUGCUGACGUGGAUAUUAUAAUUAUAUGGCUAGUGAAUUUUAGUUGUAUAUGAUUAAUACAUUGUUUAGUUAAACAACUUAUAUGUUGAGAGAAAUAUAGUGACUUGACGUGGACACUACAAUUGCAUGGCCUAGUGGAUUUUUAAUUGUAUAUGGCAUUAGGUUGCUUAGUUGGAUAACUUGCAUGUUGAGAGAAAUAGAUACUAAGGUUUAGCUUUAUAGAAGUAUAAGAUAAGAUGUGUCUAGUAAAUAAACUACAGCAAAUUUAUGGGAGAUGUACUCUUCUUGUGUAAGUGCAAGAAUUUUCGACAUGUAUGCUAUGUGGUACCUUUUUUUAUUUUUAUAUCCCCUGAAUUUAUCUGUAUUCUUUUUUUUAUGAUUUUUCUCCAUCUGGUUUCAGAUCCGUUAUGAAAACGAUUUAAAAGACGGUGCAGAUGUCGAGUAACCUAGCACAUGUCGAAAAUAAAAGAUGGUGCAGAUUUUCGACAUGUAUAAAGUUUUAAAUCUUGUCAAGUACUAAAGUACCCAAAAAACCAUGUAAAACUUAUAUCUAUGACAUGACUAAUUAGCAACAUAAAUAAUAUAUAUUUUAAUAUAACAAAUGUUUUCACAACGUCACUACUCAAAACAUUUUGUGCAACAUUUUGAAAAUUAACUCGGAGGCAGGCGGCUUGGUUGCCCGCCCCAGUUAGCCAAGGCUAGGUAGCCGGAUCAG